rnacentral:rRNA from 1 species
UACGGGGGGGGCAAGCGUUGUUCGGAAUUACUGGGCGUAAAGGGCUCGUAGGCGGCCAACUAAGUCAGACGUGAAAUCCCCAGGCUUAACCUGGGAACUGCGUCUGAUACUGGAUGGCUUGAAUUCGGGAGAGGGAUGCAGAAUUCCAGGUGUAGCGGUGAAAUGCGUAGAUAUCUGGAGGAAUACCGGUGGCGAAGGCGGCAUCCUGGACCGAGAUUGACACUGAUGAGCGAAAGCUAGGGGAGCAAACGGG